GAUCCUGGCUCAGAGCGAACGUUAGCGGCGGGCCUAACACAUGCAAGUCGCACGAGAAAAGGGUUUCGGCCCUGAGUAAAGUGGCGGACGGGUGAGUAACACGUGGGUAAUCUGCCCUUCGAUGGGGGACAACAGUCCGAAAGGAUUGCUAAUACCGCAUACGUCGGCGAGGACUUAGGUUUUCGCCGGGAAAGCCGGCCUCUUCAUGAAAGCUGGCGUCGAAGGAGGAGCCCGCGGCCCAUCAGCUAGUUGGUGAGGUAACGGCUCACCAAGGCGAAGACGGGUAGCUGGUCUGAGAGGAUGAUCAGCCACACUGGGACUGAGACACGGCCCAGACUCCUACGGGAGGCAGCAGUGGGGAAUAUUGGGCAAUGGGCGCAAGCCUGACCCAGCCACGCCGCGUGAGUGAUGAAGGCCUUCGGGUCGUAAAGCUCUGUGGGGAGGGACGAAAAAACGGCAGCUAAUAUCUGCCGGACUGACGGUACCUCCUUAGCAAGCACCGGCUAACUCCGUGCCAGCAGCCGCGGUAA
rnacentral:rRNA from 1 species